rnacentral:rRNA from 1 species
GGAGUCUAGCAUGUGCGCGAGUCAUUGGGACUAGCGAAACCUAAAGGCGUAAUGAAAGUGAAGGCGCGCUUCGCGCGCGCCGAGGGAGGAUGGGCCGGGUCGAGGCCCGGCCCCGCACUCCCGGGGCGUUUCGUUCUCAUCGCGAGAAGAGGCGCACCCAGAGCGUACACGCUGGGACCCGAAAGAUGGUGAACUAUGCCUGGUCAGGACGAAGUCAGGGGAAACCCUGAUGGAGGUCCGUAGCGAUUCUGACGUGCAAAUCGAUCGUCGGAACUGGGUAUAGGGGCGAAAGACUAAUCGAACCAUCUAGUAGCUGGUUCCCUCCGAAGUUUCCCUCAGGAUAGCUGGUGCUCGUCUUUACGAGUCUCAUCCGGUAAAGCGAAUGAUUAGAGGCAUUGGGGUCGAAACGGCCUCAACCUAUUCUCAAACUUUAAAUGGGUGAGAACUCCGGCUUGCUUAGAUUGUGAAGCCGCGAGAUUCUCCAAGGAUCAGAGUGCCAAGUGGGCCAUUUUUGGUAAGCAGAACUGGCGCUGUGGGAUGAACCAAACGCAGAGUUAAAGCGCCUAAAUCGACGCUUAUGGGAUACCAUGAAAGGCGUUGGUAACUUAAGACAGCAGGACGGUGGCCAUGGAA